AGGUCGGUACUAGACACGUUUUUCUUGGGGGUCCAGCUUUUGUAAAGCGCGGGGAUUUGUCUUCCAAAACAAAACACAUAGUUGGAGGGUCUUCUUUCUUUCGCUUUGGAUCAACACUAGAGCUAGAGCAUUCGUCACAUGAACAAGGUUUUGGCAUAACACGGUGGACCAAGAUAUGGAGUAAGUGGUCAGUUUUGCCAAUAAUGGAUCAGAAGAAGAUGUUUCAGGCUCUUCAAGACGUAUAAAUAGCCAAAGAAAGGAUCAUGUGCAGUGAUUAUGUGGCUGCCAGAAAAAUUUUACUAAAAAUUCAGUGCUAUCUUCCGCCCUUUGACGACAUUGCUGGGAUGAUCGCUGUCUGUGAUAUCUUACACUCGGCGGGCUAUGGAUUCUUGGGCUGUGACACUGACUACUACUGGAUUCUUGAGGUUUCACCGUCGGCCACUGAGUUUGCUAUCAAAAUCCAAAAUAACAAGUUGGUCACACUUCUAGACCCAAUUAAGGACAACUUCCCUUGUGCUGCAUCAGCUCUGAAAAUCACCCAUGAUGCAUUUUCUGUGCUUGCUAAUCCAAAGAAACGCUCUAUGUUUGAUAUGAAGCGGGCUAUUAGGUUGCAAUCUUAUGGUUCUGAAAACCUGCAGGAAGUUCAUGUUGUUGAUUCCCCGAAGGAAUACCUUCAAGCUGUCAAAUGGCAGGAGUCUGAAGUAAGGUAUACUAGGUUUCCAUGUGAUAUGCUGAAUGCUAUCAAUGUUAAAGGCACUAAUGAGCAUAGUGGUGGAAAUUGGGCGCAGGAAGCAAGUGAUGGUUCUGCUAAUUUUCAACAGGAAAUUGAUGGAUUUAGUGCAAAGUUUCCUUGGGAUGUUACGUCUACAAGCAGUGAUGAUCACGAUCGUCACAACUUCGUCACGAGGACUGAAGAGUUUGCAAUUGGUCAAGUCUGGGCUGCUCAUGACGAUGAAGGCAUGCCUAGAAACUAUGCACGGAUUGUUAAGAUUAAGGUUCAUGAAUCACCCUGUAGAAUGUAUAUCAGCUGGUUGAAACCUGUCCCAGAUACUGUGCAUGGGAAGAAAUGGUGUGAGGCAGGGUUGCCUUUGGUCUGUGGAUUAUUCGACGUGGAUAGGGGUCAGACCACUCUUGUUGAACCGACAUCAUUCUCACACAGGAUGUCUCCAGAUGAGUGGGCUGGUUUGGUGAAAGUAAAGGGACUGAAAAAUGUAUAUAGCACAGGUAAUGCUAGUGAGUCUCCUUUUCAAGUUCCAGGAAGAAACUUAUUUAUGUUUCCCAUAGAAUUCCAGCAUACACUUGUGCAGAUGAAGAGAUGGAUAAGCUCUCGAACAGGAUGUUUAAGCUCAACCCUUCGGCGACACCUGCCCAGUCCAUUGAAUCUCUGCCACUAUCGGACACAGAACUGCUGAACCAACAAAGAACAGCAAAAGAUUUUGCUUCAAACCAAGUAUGGGCUGUAUAUCAUGGUACAGAUUCAAUGCCUAGGCGGUAUGUUGUAUUGGAAAAUGUCGAUUCAGAGAGUGAAAUAUUGUUACAUACUUGGAGCCUUACCCCAUAUUGAUUGAUGAGAUCCACUGGAUCAAAGAGAACUUACCAUUUGGUUGUGGAUUGUUUGAAGCUGGCAAGACCAAGUUGAACUUGAAGUUAACUAGGUUCUCACAUAUGGUAAAGUGUGAAAAGAAUAAUUUCUUUUACAAAAUAUUUCCAAACAAAGCAAAGAUUUGCGCAAAGUACAGGAAUUGGAGUAGCAGGUGGAAGACUGCCGAUUUCAAUAACUAUCAAUGUCAAGUUGUUGAAAUUGUUUCAGAGUUCUGUCAGGAAUCUGGGUUAAUAGUAGCCAAUUUAGAAAAGGUGGCUGGCUGCGCUACUUUAGUUAGAAGGCAGUCUUAUAUGUUAUUCUCUAUUAUAAGUAAGAAAACUUUUAAUUUAUCUU